GUAUUUUGGGAAAUGUCUGUUCAAGUCCUUUGAUCAUUUUAAAACUCUGGUUAUUUGUUUUCUUCCUACUGAGUUGUUUGAGUUUCUUAUCUACACUUUAGAUCAUAACAACCCCUUCUCAGAUACAUGGUUUGCAAAUGUAUUCUCUCACUCUGUGGAGUCUCACUCUGUAGCCCAAGCUGGAGUGGCGUGAUCUCGACUCACUGCAACCUCCGCCUCCUGGGAUCAAGUGAUUCUCGUGCCUCAGCCUCCUGAGUAGCCGGGACUACAGGUCACAGAAUUUUCCACACUCCUUGACAGAGGUGCUUAACCCUUAUCCAUCAGCAUUCUCAGACAGCACCUCCGGUUAGGGACAGUAUCUGACCGUCCGACAUCCCUGCAGCCCCCAUGUGUCACACAGACUCAGCCUCAGGUAGAUGGUUUCCGUAGAUGGUGGCUUUCUUUGGACCCUUGACAUCAACCAGUUACUAUUUGCAGGGCCACACAUAACAAAUAGAAGCAGAGCAAGCCCUGGAACUCCUGCCUGACAGUGACACGACGACAGAAACAUCUUACCAGUCAGAGGACCAUGAGAAAUAGAUUCAAGGAGCAUUCCACGUGCAAGUGAGUCUUGGCCCCAUCUGCCUUUGGAUUUUAGCCGUGAACUGGAAGGUAUUGGAAAGAAGACCCUCAGAAAUAGCUUAAUCAAAAUCCCUGCGUCUGAACCAAGUGCCUUAUUUCUCUGUGGGCCUCAAGCUUCGCUGACAUCUGUGGAGCACACUGUCCUAACAGGAGUGCUGUCUGAUUUCCCAACGCUCUGCAAAACAAACAGCCUGGAAGGGUGGCUGGUGGAAGGUGGUUUUUAGAGAGAGACUUGUAGAUAACAGGAAAGUGAAGGCUGUAAGGAAGGUUGUAAUUAAACAGCACAUGGAAACACAA
rnacentral:lncRNA from 1 species